UUGGUAUUUCUGGGGGAAUUUCUGGGGGUAACUCAUCCCAAGGAGGAAGAAGCAUACUAAGUGUAGGAUGAGGCAACCAUUCCUGGGAAGGAAGUCAGUGACAGCACAAAAGCAAACAAAAAAAAACAUACAAUUGGGUGAAGAUUAAUGAGAAGCCAGAGGAUUGGAAAACAUUUAAAAUACAGCAGAGGACAUGUAAUAAAAACAAUAAGGGGGAGAAGAUGAAAUUUGAGAGCAAGCUAGUUAGUAUAAUAUAAAAGAAGAUUCCAAGACCCUUUUUUUGCAUAUCUAAAAGAUAAGAGAGAGGCAAGAGAAAACAUUGGGCUGAUGGAGAAUAAGGCUGGAGAUGGAAUAAUUGGGAUCAAAAUAAUGGUGGAGGAACUGAAUAGGUGUUUUGCAUCAGUUUUCACUGUGGAAGAUACCAGUAGCAUACCAGAACUUCAAGAGAGUCGGGGGCAGAGGUGAGAGUAGUGUUCAUCACUAAGGAGGUGCUGGGGAUGCUGAAAGGUCUGGAUGUGAAUACAUCACUCAGAACAAAUGGAUCAUAUAUCCCAGAGUUCUGAAGGAGAUAGCUGAGGAGAUUCGAGAGGCAUUGGUACUGAUCCUUCAGAAAACCCUGUAGUUAGGGAGGGUCCCAGAGGAUGAGAAAAUAUCUAAUGUGAAACCACUGUUUAAGAAUGUAGGGAGACAGAAGACAGGAAACUAUAGGCCAGUUAGCCUGACCUUGGUGGUUGGUAAG